AUAAGCUAAAAUUUAUUUUUCAGUGGUGGCUGGAACUGUACAUUCUGUGAAGAUCCUGAAGUUAUUGAUGAACCAACCUUAAAUGAUUACCUUGUAGGUGGCGGAACAAAACGGAAAGUUCCAACAGGGCUGCAUGGCAAAGAACUCAAGGUGUGUGAACGAGUUCUUCUCGAGCUGUUCUGCCACAGUGCCAGCACUGCAUUCCAUGAACCAGUGAGUAAAGCUGUUCCUAACUACUAUAGAAUUAUCACGAAUCCAAUGGAUUUCACGACGAUAAAAUACAAACUUUCUCGGCAACACUUCAACCAUUACAAAGAUGUCGAACGCUUCAUCGCGGAUAUCAAAUUAGUUUUCAAGAAUUGCUCACUGUAUAAUUCCGUAAGUGUCCUCAUAGCA